GGGAGUAGCUCAGGGGUAGAGCGCCGCCCUUCCAAGGCGGUUGUCGUGGGUUCAAAUCCCAUCUCCC
rnacentral:tRNA from 1 species